rnacentral:lncRNA from 1 species
CCCCCUGCCGCCCGCUAGAUGGCGCCUCUCACACGCCGCAGCGCCUCUCUGAUUCCUGGCGCCCGGUUGUGCUCCAGUGGGGCGGGUUGGCGGCGGCAGAAGCACCACCCUGAGGCCGCUGGCUUGAGCUCCUGCCGCAGAGGGAGGCGGGGAGCCAAACGCGCCGCUCCCCUCCCCGCGCGGGCUGCGGCCGCUGCCAGGAUGCCUCGGGAGCGCGGCGGCAGCUGCUGGCUGCUCCCCGCGCUGCUGCUCCUGCCGCCGCUCUGCGCGCCGGCUUUGACUAUAAGUGUAGCUGCUGAAGAUGCAAAGGAACAGAUUGAGCAACUGGUAUCACAGGUAGUAAAUUCUAAUUCUGUCCCAGCAGUAAUGUACUGUCUAGAUUAUAAAAUCUUUGGGGCAGAGACUGUGGGUAAAAUUCUGACCCGUUUGAACUCAGUGAGAGCUUUGUCAUUGACUUCAUUGGAGCCAGGACCUAAUGCUGUCUUUUUUUCUCUGGGGCACCUAGCACAUCUUUAGUAAUACCACUUUUCUAGAGCCUCUAUCUUACAGCUUUUCCCACCCAAAGUUUUCUUAGAAUGACCACAGCUAGUCCUAUAUUGAUUUUAUUCAUUUCAGUCCCUUUCUUAAACUGGAUCAAAUAUAUUUUGAUAUUUGUAUUUUAAGAGUUAUAGCUUUAUUUUAUUUAACAUAUCAAUUUUUCUAACAGAAAUCUUGUAAAAUUUGUUUCACAACUUAGACAUAAAUCUAGUAUAUAUACAAUUAUAAAUUGGCCUAUGGAAGUCCCCAAAUCUGCAUUGCUGAGACCUGCAACUGUAAAAUUCUUCCAUUUUGUGGUACUGAUCACAUAUUGUGGUAGCUGCUUUCCUACUCUGUCUUCCUCUUCUGUCUUGCCAGUUGAUUAUGUCAGUUAAAGUCUUUCAUUAUCACAUGUUUAGGUAGGUUUUUUUGUACAGUAAGCAGUGUGCUUUGGCAUGACAAGGAGUCACUCUAUAAAUAAAAUUAUUGUAUUAAGUAAUUGGAGGACA